rnacentral:sRNA from 12 species
UGGGCUGGUCGUAAGACCCGGUUCCACCAAUCGGCGGGUAAGACACCC